rnacentral:tRNA from 1 species
AAGUGUUUAAUCUAAAAAAGAUUAUUAAUUUCGACUUAAUAAAUUCUGGAAAAACCCAGAAACACUUU